rnacentral:rRNA from 1 species
GACGAACGCUGGCGGCGUGCUUAACACAUGCAAGUCGAACGGAAAGGCCCUGCUUUUGUGGGGUGCUCGAGUGGCGAACGGGUGAGUAACACGUGAGUAACCUGCCCUUGACUUUGGGAUAACUUCAGGAAACUGGGGCUAAUACCGGAUAGGAGCUCCUGCUGCAUGGUGGGGGUUGGAAAGUUUCGGCGGUUGGGGAUGGACUCGCGGCUUAUCAGCUUGUUGGUGGGGUAGUGGCUUACCAAGGCAUUGACGGGUAGCCGGCCUGAGAGCGUGACCGGCCACAUUGGGACUGAGAGACGGCCCAGACGCCUACGGGAGGCAGCAGUGGGGAAUAUUGCACAAUGGGCGGAAGCCUGAUGCAGCAACGCCGCGUGCGGGAUGACGGCCUUCGGGUUGUAAACCGCUUUCGCCUGUGACGAAGCGUGAGUGACGGUAAUGGGUAAAGAAGCACCGGCUAACUACGUG